AAGACCUUAAAAAAAAGUUGGAAAAAUUCCCAUGUCACCUUAUACUAAAACUGUUUCUAGGAGAGAGGAGGAAAUAUUCUUUCUUCUCAUGGAAAAAAAUACAAAAAAUACUCUGAGUCAGAAAUGUCUGUUUGUCCACCAAAAUCUGUCCUCCCAAUUUCAUAGUGUGGAGUGGGAGCUGCCAGACAGCUGUCCAGUCAGGAACUGCAUUUCCCAGAGUCCUUUGUGUCAAGUGUGCCCAUGUGACUAGUUCUGACCAGUGGAAUAGGAAUGGGAGUGACCUGCCAUUUGUAGGCUGGGACUUCAAUGGAAUGCUCACUGAAGCCCUCUUUCCCCUUUGGCUCUCUGGAUGUAGAGGGCUCUGAGGUUCUAGGGCAGGACUUCUCAAAAUUCUGUGUGUGUUGGUGUCACCCAUAUCUGGAGAUCUUCUUAAAACACCGGGCUGGUACAGUAGGUCCAGGGCAGGGUCUGAGAUCUUGCAUUUCUAACAAGCUUCCAGGGGAUAGUGGUGCUGUUUGUGCUCAGACCCUCUUUCAGAAGCAAGCAAGGCUCUAGGGGAUGGUGGAGCCAUAGAAUGAAAGGAACAUGUCUGAAUCACUAAAUAAGGAAAAUCUCUGUCUUCAACCAGCAACUCCUGGUCUGUUACGUGAGUGAGAAAUAAGCCUUUGGAGGUGGGAGUGGAUUUAUUUGUUACAGCAGCCAGUCUUCUGGGAGUGGUUCAGACGAUUCACUGCUUCUGUUUGAAAGUGUCUUGGCAGAAUAAUUUAGGACAAAAUCAUUGCUGGCUGCUCCACCCCUUUAAUGUGGGUGCCUGUUCCAGAUAACUCCUUCGUUUUUUAAGAUAUCUAUACCUAACUAUAUUUUAAGACCUACCAAGGCCUUACACCAUUAGCUCCUUGAUAAUAACAAUGGUUAAGAAAAAAAAAAAAUCUGGGUUUUGUAUUUGUUGACUUUGAUUAAAAACAGAGUGAAAAUGUUUGGGGGUGGGUUGUGAAUGAUCUGCUUCAUCUGGCAGGAAGGUUAGUGGAGAGCAGACCAUGAGGGUCUUUGAUCCUGAGGGAGUUCAGGUAGAGUCCCUUAAGCAAGGGGCCAGCAGGUGAGUAUCAGGGCCCUGGUACAGGCUGCAGGGCUGAGGUUGGCUGGAGGAGUCGAGCCCAAAGUGUGGUCACUCAAAGGCUGCUUGACACGAGUGACAGGAGCCUGGGCAGGGAGUCAGAUGGGAUACAGGUGUCUUUGUGUGUGUGUGUGUGGUAUUGGGAAGAGUUGCGGUUGGAGCAGAGAGGCAGAGGGAGUCUGGACUAGUCCAAGGCCAAAACCCGCAGGGGCCUUUUGCCUGCUUCCAGCAAACAUUUACAGUGGGGUGGUCAAGUUCAUCUGAGGGACCCUGACCUGCUGGACCCAGUGUGCUAGAACUCAGCUAAGGAUGCUAGUGGAAAGUCUCUCCCUGGGUUCUGAGCAAGGAAGGCUGGAACAAGAAGGCUUGCCCUGUCUCUGUUGCUCUCUGGUCCUGACCUUACCUUCAUGAAAUAAGAGCCAGAGCUGGGUCUUCUCAAGGCCUGCUGGCUUUGGGACAGAGCUGGGCCUGAGCAAGAACAGGAGAAAGUCAAGGGGAAACAGUUACUGGGUUUAUUUUGGGUAAAGCACCUGGUUGAGUUGCAGAAGCUAGCCUUCAUUCCAGGUGGUGUUCAAAUAAAAACAUCAAGCCCUUCUUUCAGAAUUUUGUAAAAAUAGCAGCAAAUGAGAAAAAUUGCAAAGUGUUUACUCUGACUAGUCAGGGCCACUUACCAUGUUGAAAGCCAUUUUUAUUCAAGGGAAACUGUAUUGGAUUUAGACAUAAGGCCGGUUUUUAAAAAAAUUAUCCAACCUUCAGCAAGUAUUUCACUGAGUGCCUGUUAUAUGUCAGGCACCGUGUGGGUUAAUUGUAGAAACACAAGAUGAAUCUUCAAUCCACAUCUUGAUGAUGGAGAAAAGAGCAGAGAAUCUAUAAGAGUUGUGAGCCUGUUUACUGAUUAGAUACCUGCCCAGGAAAGCUCUUCGAAGAGUUGAAACACACCAGCAGGGCCUCCUGAGUCCUCCCGGAAAGGCUGGUGGCUGCCUGAGACAGGAGCUGGGAGAGGCUGAGCUCAGUGUCGGCAGCCUGUGGGGGCUGCAGCCUCCAUCAGAGGAUGGAGAAGAAGGGAGAGAGGCAGGGAGCAGGGAGCAUAAAGGUGGUCUCCCCUCUAGCCCCGUGUUCUGUAUGGGAACCCACAUCACAUCAGGUCGUCCUGCCCAAUGAAUACCUACCAGUGGCCUCCUGCUGACUGUUGCAUGGAGGCCCAAGUGCUGGCCAAGGCCAGUUAGGCCCUGUGAGAUCUUGACCCCGCAGCUCUCCAGCCUCCUGCAGGCAAGUUCUCCAAAUCCUCUGCCCUCAGGUGACUGGCUGCUGUCGGGCCUCAGAUUUGCCACCUUGGCCCAUGUGCCCCUUCCUCUAGGGUGGCUGAACCAUCCCGGUUUGCCCGGGACUGAGGGGUUUGUUGGGAUGCCCACUCGCAGGUUUAAAGCCAGGACCGUCCUUGGCGAACUGGGGAAGGCGUGCGGUCUCUGUGGGGUGGGUAGUGCCUGUCUAGUUUAAGAUUAUAGUCUCAGCCCUCUGCACACUGCCUGGCACAUGGCUGACACCUGAUAAAUAUCUGUUGAGUGAGAAUUCCAGAGCACCACCGCAGAUGUUUUUAUGUCCCUCAGUUAAUAAGAACAACAAUUUAAAAAUGUGUAUGUGUCAAAUAUUUACCCUGUGCUCAAGUCAGAGUCCCUGACUAGUUCUUGGCACCAUGACAGGUGCUCACGUCUCCUUAUCUCUCGCCUGGAGGAUGUCAGUACCUGCCAGAGUGUCUCCUACCUCCACUGUACCUGGACAGGACUGCCAGGGCUUCCUCCCAGAGCACAGGGCUGAGUUCAUCUUCUUUGCUCAGAAACCUCUAAUGACUCUCAACUGCUCCCUAACAGCAUUUGUGAUCUGCUUGACCCUACCUGUGUUUAUCCUACUCUCUCUCUCUCUCUCUCUCUCUCUCUCUCUGUGUGUGUGUGUGUGUCACAGUGUCAGUCAAAAUAAACAAUUCACUGUUUCUCUAACCUACUUCCAAGUUUCUGAACUCUGACUUCCCUCAUGCUGUUCUAUCCCUUACACCUCCUCUACCUUUUGAAAUUCUACCCAUCCUUCAAAACCCAACUGAAAUGCCCCUUAUCCAGGGUGACUUCUAACUGCCUCCAACCAUUUCUGCAUCCUACAGAGUCCAGCAUCACCACGUCAUGCUUGCUGCUUUCCGUCUUGAUCGCCUAACUUGAGAAUAGGGGCUGUGUUCUGUUCACCUGUAAUGUUUUAUAUAUAGAUUCCCAGGUUCUUCCAGGUGAAAUCACUCUCCAAGAGGCAGUUUUAUCAGAAGAAAAGAUCACAGAAAACUCUGAGAACCUUUUAAAACAGAUACGGCUCUCAUUUGUGGUUGCCAGUUACCCUCCCCAGGGUGGUGGGACAGACUUCAACUUUUCUGGAGUGCCUGAUCACUGGGCUGCCUGGGUGAUAUGCCGCCAAAUGCCCAGGAAGAGCUUCACAGCAAACGCACCUCUACUGCAGGAACAUCAAUCAGGUUUCUGGUCGAGUGCCUGACGCUUGGAGUACACAUUCGAAGCUCUUCUAGGCACGUACAGACCUCAGGAGCCACACACUUCACAGUUUCUGGGUUCCACAGUGGACUUGGACUUGACAAAAUGACAGCUUCAGAGGAGGGAUGUGCUUGUUGCUCCGCCCAGUCUCCACCUGGCUCUCUUCGCUUUUUAUUUUCCGGCCUGACCUUGGAAACAUGUGAUUCAUGACAGAUAUGGUUUCACUCUGAUGCUUUUACAAAAAUGCUUCCUCUUCAAGAAGAUUUCCAGAAAGGACUUUUUGACAAAUACAGGUUUCUGACUUUCAGACCGUAACACUGAACUGGAAAGGGCCCCUGCACUGGACUGGUCUAUAGAGAGGGCUGCUGAUGUCAAAAUCACCUUAAAACAACGCUCAAACAGAGGAGAAACUACACUCAUACCAGGAUGAGAAGAAGACAACAUUGGAAGUAGACAGCUGGCCUAAGAUGCUGCACCUGACCCGCUGCAAGACUCUUCACUUGAGGCUUUCAACCAUAUUCUCCUCUUGUCAAACAACUAAACUACACCUAUGCUUGAUGGAAAUUAAACAGCUGGUGCUCAGGAUACUACAAAGAGAGGGAAAGAGUCAACCCAAGGAAGCUGUUACAUGUGACUGCCUGUGAUGGGACCUGAUCUCCCUGUUUUACUUAUUUGACUUCAGGUGCAGGGAGCUGCCAAAGCCCCCGCAGUGGAACUGGGAGCUUUAGGAUCAGUUUGGGUCUGCCGUGGAUGCCAUAUGGACCAUGCUUGUUGGACACGUGGGACUUCAUGUUGGUGCUCCCAAGCCUUGGUGCCUUGUGGAUUUUUGCACGUGACAGUGAAAAUAAAUUAAAACACCAUGAGACGGAA